rnacentral:lncRNA from 1 species
UUCCACUAGAUGUCAACGAUCUUUAUAAAGUUGUUUGAAGCGUCUAUGAUAAACAGAGAGCAAAUUAGAAUCCAAGGAAGUUGACAUGUCAUCACUUCAUUUUUUUGCGCCUGCGCAUAAAUCUGAGAAACGUGAGUUUGUCAUCAUUUUUUAUCUAGACAUAGGAUAGGUUGUGUGAAAAUAUUACUGAUGUUUAACGUUAAAAAUGGACCAAAAGAUUAAUGCUAAACAACAUUUGACAUGUUUGAACGAACAUAAAUAGAUUAUUUACUAGGUUUUUUAGCUUUUCGGCGUGAUUUUACCAGCCCCCCAACCACGUUUUGUGGGAGCAUAAUGAACGCUAAGUACUUGGUGUUAUUUGGACAUAAAUUAUGAACUUUGUCAAAAGAAACCACAUUUGUUCCGGACCUGGAAUGCCUUCCGGACCUGGGAUCCUGCCUUCUGAUGGAGAUAAUCAAAGCACUUAAAUCUGGUAUCCACACCUCCGGGCCAUCCAAUAUCCUGUACUUUCCUUUUUCCUACAGCAAAGGAAGGAAGGAAGCUCUGGCGCUGGCAGGUGUCGCCCAUCUUCCCCAUUAUCCCUGUGUAUUUAUACCUGUGUCCUCUGUUUUUGUCUGUUGCCAAUUCAUUUGUUCGUAGAACCAACCAGCGUUUUGUUUCCCUGCUCCCGCCUGUUCCUUGCGCCUGUUUUCCGGUUCUGACCGUUCUGCCUACCUUGACCCUGCCUGCCGUCCUGUACCUUUGCACCGCUACUCUGGAUUACCGACCCCUACCUGACCUGUCCCGGCCUGCUGUCCUGUACCUUACACCCUCUCUGGAUUAUUGACACCUGCCUACCUUCACCUGUUGUUUGCCUGCCCCUGUUUGAGGAAUAAACGUUUGUUUCUUCAACACUGUCUGCACCUGGGUCAUACCUUAAAACGUGGUACCACUGCUAAAUGACUAACGUCAAAUGUAAUUGACCAAAGUGACCAGAUGAUUAUGCUUACUUACAGUGCAUUCAGAAAGUAUUCUGAACUCUUCACUUUUUUCACAUUUUGUUACGUUACAGCCUAAUUCUAAAAUGGAUUAAAUAAUUGUUUCCCUCAUCCAUAUACACACAAUACCCCAUAAUGACAAAGCUAAAACAGUAAAAAAAAAAAAUACAGAAAUACCUUAUUUUGCUCAGGUACAUCCAGUUUCCAUUGAUAAUCCUUGAGAUGUUUCUACAACUUGAUUGGAGUCCACCUGUGGUAAAUUAAAUUGAUUGGACAUGAUUUGGAAAGUCACACACCUG